UACGAAGGGUGCAAGCGUUACUCGGAAUUACUGGGCGUAAAGCGUGCGUAGGUGGUGCGUUAAGUCUGUCGUGAAAGCCCCGGGCUCAACCUGGGAAUGGCGAUGGAUACUGGCGCGCUAGAGUGCGGUAGAGGAGAGUGGAAUUCCCGGUGUAGCAGUGAAAUGCGUAGAUAUCAAGUGGAACACCAGUGGCGAAGGCGAGUCUCUGGACAUUUCCUGACGCUGAGGCACGAAAGCCAGGGGAGCAAACGGG
rnacentral:rRNA from 1 species